rnacentral:rRNA from 1 species
UACGGAGGAUGCGAGCGUUAUCCGGAUUUAUUGGGUUUAAAGGGUGCGUAGGCGGGCUUUUAAGUCAGCGGUAAAAAUUCGGGGCUCAACCCCGUCCGGCCGUUGAAACUGGGGGUCUUGAGUGGGCGAGAAGAAGGCGGAAUGCGUGGUGUAGCGGUGAAAUGCAUAGAUAUCACGCAGAACCCCGAUUGCGAAGGCAGCCUUCCGGCGCCCUACUGACGCUGAGGCACGAAAGUGCGGGGAUCGAACGGG